rnacentral:rRNA from 1 species
AACGAACGCUGGCGGCAUGCCUAACACAUGCAAGUCGAACGAGACCUUCGGGUCUGGUGGCGCACGGGUGCGUAACGCGUGGGAACCUGCCCUUAGGUUCGGAAUAACUCCCCGAAAGGGGUGCUAAUACCGGAUAAUGUCUUCGGACCAAAGAUUUAUCGCCUUUGGAUGGGCCCGCGUUGGAUUAGCUAGUUGGUAGGGUAAAAGCCUACCAAGGCGACGAUCCAUAGCUGGUCUGAGAGGAUGAUCAGCCACACUGGGACUGAGACACGGCCCAGACUCCUACGGGAAGCAGCAGUGGGGAAUAUUGGACAAUGGGCGAGAGCCUGAUCCAGCACUGCCGCGUGAGUGAUGAAGGCCUUAGGGUUGUAAAGCUCUUUUACCCGGGCUGAUAAUGACAGUACCGGGAGAAUAAGCUCCGGCUAACUCCGUG